rnacentral:SRP_RNA from 16 species
CCCUGUACCCCUCACGCCGACAUGCGGGGGCCGAGGACAGCCGUGCGUUCGUAAUUCCGAGGGC